rnacentral:lncRNA from 1 species
GUGCCUUUUCCCUUAAGCUGAGCCACUUUGAGCUCCAAAGAAUUCUUCCUAGCAGGUGUUUUUAUACAAAACUCUAAGGUGAGGGCGGGGCCCCUGGCGUGGGAUCAUGUGGAUGUCUACCCUCCCACCUGCUCCUCUGAUUGGCCAUGAGCUCUGCCCUCCCCGCCUCUGCCUGGCCAGUGCUGACCUUGGGGUGGUCCACUACCCCCCACCACCCGCACCCCAGGAAGGAGCUGUUUGCCUGUGCAACCUUUCCAGGCCUGGGCGGUGUGUGUGUGGGGUUACCCCGACCCCCACCCCCCACCCCAAGUGUUUUUUUACUUACUUACUGACUGAGAGAAAAGAUGGAAGGAGGGAGGGCAGACAAAAUUUUAUUUUCUUUUUUGGAUCGAGUGGCGAAGCGGAGGGACAAGGCACCGUGGGGGAAAGUGGAAUCUCACUGUGUUUAAACUACUAUGCAAAAAAAAAAAAACAAAAAAACAAAAAAACAAAAAAAACAACCCACAAAACAAACAAACAAAAAAAGCAGCUUGCCUUAUAUCAUUGUGUAAGGUCGGCCCUCGGCCCAGACUCCUGGUGUUGCCCUGGAGCUGGGAGGGAGGCCGAGGCAGCCCCCCGAGGGUGAGCACCCGCUGGAAGGGGGCCGUUUGUCAAGGUCGAUGGUGAGGCUGGGGGUGGGGGAAGCCUGCAAGGCCAUGGCUCACCGGACUGCUUGCUUUCUGGGGACCUCUGUGCGGUGGGAGGGGUCUUUUAGUGCCCUGAUGACUUGAUGUUUCUUUCUCUCCCUUCCCAGCCAGUGAUAAGGGGCUAGAGAUCUGUAAUUUCUCUGUGAGAAAGUCUGAAGGGGGCUAGGCCUGGCGUCCACCCCCUCCACAGCAGAGCUGGGUUUCCACUGCCUGCCGCCGUCUUCAUGGGGUCGCCCACCGUUGGGCCACUGGCAGGCCCUGGAGAGGGAAGGGGAGCCGUGGGGGGCAGCGAGGGCCGGCGGAUCAGAGGUGUGGCAGGAGCCGAGCUGGAGUGAGAGCCAUCCUUUGUUCUCAUGGACACAUGCAAGCCUGUUUCCAUUACUUCACUUGAUUGACCGACCAGUGGGGAGUUCAUCUGAGCCAGUAUCUCCCCAAGACUUAGGUGGGCCUGUGUCACAAGGCACUGGGUUGAGGCCACCUGCCAAAUCUCAGCUUGGAGCUAGCCGAGCGGGUUUUGCUUUUUUUUUUUUUUUUUUUUUUAAUGAUUUUUUUCUGUACCCACUCCUGUGGGUGGGAUUGCCCAUUUUUGUUUCUUGACUGGCCCAGGAGCGCCCCCUGGAGGUCAAAGAAGGGACACGUGCCCGAGGACCAGAACUUCCCAGAACUUCCCACCUCCUGCUCUCCUGCGGAAGGCAGAGGAUGGGGGGCUCUGGCUUUCCAUCAGAUUGCAGCCCCCUGUCUUUCUUCCUCAGGGUACCAGCGACCUGUAAGGGCCUUCUCUCUCUUCCGUUUCCCCACCUGUUUUGCAGUCUUAAGACCAUUGUACAUAAUAUUCAUAUUAUAUAUAUAUAAUACGAUGUGUAUAUUAUAUAUAUAUAGUAUCCAUAUAUAUAUAUAUAUGGAGAGAGAGCGUGCGUGUGUUAGUGACUGUAUGUGAUUUUUAUUUAUCAGCACUUGGUGGCCUUUAUUGUGAGUUUGUUUCCUUUUUAUUUCUGGUGGUGGUGUUGAGGGAACCUGCUGGUUCCCUGUGGCAGUCUGGCAGCCAGACAGUCCCUGGGCAGGUACGUGGAGGGACGGUGGCUUCAGAGGAGAGCCAGCCCCUUCCCCUCCUCCUCACUGACCCUUCUUCUAAAGGUUACAGGGUUCAAACGUAGCUGACUAUUCUUGUCAUUAGCGUUAUUGUUGUUUUCGUUUUAGUUUCAUUUUAAACCAAACUUGGACCUCAGCUGCUGGAAAGAUUUUCCGUUUCUGGGAGGAACCCCUCGGGCUUCCUCUGUCCAGGGCUGGGGGGGAGGGUGUGAUUGAAGGUGUGGUGUGGGAGGCAGAGCAGAGGCCGGCCCCGGGGUGGUUCUCAAGGUGGUGGGGAGGGUGACAGACCUAUCUUUAGUGUUAAGACAUAAGGCGACAGUGUAAGUAUUGGGGGGGGGGGGGUAAUAACCCAGGUGACCGUGGCAGUCGGUGUCCGGUGGUAUUAUUUAUGCUUCCCCCUUCGUGUACAUAGGAUGUUUGUCUCGGGGACUAGGGUGCUCUAGUUUGUCCAGGGAGUCUGGAAGUGGCAGGAGCCAGAUGGACGCUGGCCAUGCAGCCCCUUCCUGCUGCUUUCCUAUAGCUGUGCUCCCCUGGGGAGCAGGGAUUUGGGGCAGGUGGAUGGGCGUGCAGCAGACCUGCCUCCUGGGCAGGGGCUAGUGGUGGGAGGCGGGGAGCCCAGGUCUGGGCCUGGCUGCCUUUCUCCCCACCAAGUUCUUUUUUUUGAGUUUGUUGCCAGUGGGCCCUGCUUGUGCCCUCGCCAUGAGCCCACAGCUUGCCAAGAAAGCCCCCAACGCUCGCUGGGGCAGCACCAGGUCCAGUUGGGAAGAACUGGUCCGUCCUUUGUAAAGCUGUAAAUACUCAAAUUUCUAUUUCUAAGCCCAGUGUCAUAUUGACAUUGGUAUUUUAAGGUCGUUCUCAGAUGGGCUCUCCUGCGCUGCCCUCUCUCACUCUCCUAUUUUGGGGGGUUUUAUAAAAAGAGAGGAUUGGGGAGAGGCAGGGAGAAGUAGCUUCCUUUCACCUCCCUGGUUGUGGAUCACACACACGCGCACGCACGCACGCGCGCACGCACCUCUGAGACUCCAAACAGGGGAAAAAAAAAAUCAUUGGCAAGUGAACACCUCUUGUUUUCUUGUAGCAAUAUACCUUGAGGUCUCCGAAGGGCCAGCCCAUCGCGGACUGAGCUCUGACCUACAGAGAAGCAAACCACUUUGGCUUGGAAUGGGGGAGAGGGUGUGGGGUGGCAGGUACUGUAUGGUGUAACUUAAGCUAAAUGUAAUCUAUUUAUAAAGCAAGAGAUUCUCAUCUAUUUUUAUGAAAGGAAAGGGUUUUUAAAUCUAGGGUAGGCAGUUACGGUAGCCCCGCGUUCUCCUGUGAACAAGAUGCAUGUUGCUGCUGGACUGAAUAUAACCAGUGCCCCUCCCGUCCCCCUGGCCUCACUGCCAGGUCACCUGCACCCAUGAGCGGCUUCGGCAGAGCCUAGGUCCCACCUCACCCCACUUUCUUGUUCCUCCACCACCACCCCCCCCAGCUCCUUGGUCCUUGAAAGUCUUUGAUGGGGGGGGUAACUCGGGGGAGUGGGUGGGUGGUGAGGGAUUCAGAAUCAAGGUCGGGGAGGGGGGUGGAGGAUGGGAGAUGGGGCACCGGGUGGGGGAUGAGCUCUGCUUCAGAGGGUGGGCUCUGGUCUGCCAAGAUCCAUUUCCGAGUUGGCUGUGUCUGGGGGAGGCUGAGAAGCAGCGGACUGUGGGUGGCCAUGAGACUGUUGGUUCAGGGAGUAUGCGGCUCCCUUGGGGCCUGGGCCCUACAGGGUCCCAGGCUGCGGGGUCCCAGGCUGUCAGGCAGCUGGAGCAGGAAUGGGAGUGCUCCAGGAGACGCCCAUCACCCAGCCCCAGCUGUGCUUGCUCCAGGCCGAGGUCCGGGCUGCAGCCCUUGGUGUGCUCCUCCAGGGCCUGGGGCAGGGACUGGGCACCUGGGGCUUCCUCAGACCCGGGUUGACCAUCUCGGCACACCGAGCUCUGGUUCUAGAAGGGCAUCCUCCUGGCACGGGGGAGUCUGGGGGCAGCUGGGUGGGUAUGGGUCAAGGCAAAUUCUCUCUGAAAGGGAGCUUCCCUUUGGGUGGAGGAUUUCCAGGUUCGGGGUGGCCUGUGUGUUAGUCUUGGGCGAAUCCCCCACCAUUCCCACUGCCCGGCCCUCAAAGAAACGAAGCCAGGCACCAUCCCCACCCCCAGCAAGACCCCUUCGUGGACAUUUUAGCAUCUACCUGAUUUUUAGCCCCAUCCAGGGAGACUUUGUAUCCCGCAGUCCCAUCCCACCCCACUGUUGCUGUUUGUCUGCCCAUUGGGUCUAGUGUCAAGGGGAAAGGGGGAGGGUUUAUACUCAUUGAAAGACUACUGAUCCUACCGGAAACCAACCUGUUUACUGUACUGUUGUAAAUAUCAUGCCCUUUAUAUCCUGUAUAUUGGCUUCUUUUAAAUAAAGUGAAAUGUC